rnacentral:tRNA from 1 species
GAGAUAUUAGUAAAAAUUACAUAACUUUGUCAGGGUUAAAUUAUAGGUGAAAAUCCUUUAUANNNUU